rnacentral:rRNA from 1 species
ACUUUUUCUGCAAGCGUUAUCCGGAUUCAUUGGGUUUAAAGGGUGCGUAGGCGGGGUAAUAAGUCAGUGGGGAAAGCCUACAGCUUAACUGUAGAAUUGCCGUUGAUACUGUUAUCCUUGAGUAUAGUUGAGGUAGCUGGAAUGUGUGGUGUAGGGGUGAAAUGCUUAGAUAUCACACAGAACACCAAUUGCGAAGGCAGGUUACUAAACUAUAACUGACGCUGAGGCACGAAAGCGUGGGGAGCAAACAG